GCCAAUGUGGCAUAGUGGUAAGAGUGCAGGUCUAGGGCCUGGGAAACCAGGGUUCAAAUCCCGCAUUUGGCC